GUUUGAUCCUGGCUCAGGACGAACGCUGGCGGCGUGCUUAACACAUGCAAGUCGAGCGGUAAGGCCCUUCGGGGUACACGAGCGGCGAACGGGUGAGUAACACGUGAGCAACCUGCCCCUGACUCUGGGAUAAGCGGUGGAAACGCCGUCUAAUACCGGAUACGACCUUUCAGCUCAUGCUGGAGGGUGGAAAGUUUUAUCGGUCAGGGAUGGGCUCGCGGCCUAUCAGCUUGUUGGUGGGGUAAAGGCCUACCAAGGCGAUUACGGGUAGCCGGCUGAGAGGGCGACCGGCCACACUGGGACUGAGACACGGCCCAGACUCCUGCGGGAGGCAGCAGUGGGGAAUAUUGCACAAUGGGCGAAAGCCUGAUGCAGCGACGCCGCGUGGGGGAUGACGGCCUUCGGGUUGUAAACCUCUUUUACCACCAACGCAGGCUCCACGUUCUCGUGGGGUUGACGGUAGGUGGGGAAUAAGGACCGGCUAACUACGUGCCAGCAGCCGCGGUAAUACGUAGGGUCCGAGCGUUGUCCGGAAUUAUUGGGCGUAAAGAGCUCGUAGGCGGCGUGUCACGUCUGCUGUGAAAGACCGGGGCUUAACUCCGGUUCUGCAGUGGAUACGGGCAUGCUAGAGGUAGGUAGGGGAGACUGGAAUUCCUGGUGUAGCGGUGAAAUGCGCAGAUAUCAGGAGGAACACCGGUGGCGAAGGCGGGUCUCUGGGCCUUACCUGACGCUGAGGAGCGAAAGCAUGGGGAGCGAACAGGAUUAGAUACCCUGGUAGUCCAUGCCGUAAACGUUGGGCGCUAGGUGUGGGGACUUUCCACGGUUUCCGCGCCGUAGCUAACGCAUUAAGCGCCCCGCCUGGGGAGUACGGCCGCAAGGCUAAAACUCAAAGGAAUUGACGGGGGCCCGCACAAGCGGCGGAGCAUGUUGCUUAAUUCGACGCAACGCGAAGAACCUUACCAAGGUUUGACAUCACCCGUGGACCUGUAGAGAUACAGGGUCAUUUAGUUGGUGGGUGACAGGUGGUGCAUGGCUGUCGUCAGCUCGUGUCGUGAGAUGUUGGGUUAAGUCCCGCAACGAGCGCAACCCUUGUUCUAUGUUGCCAGCACGUCAUGGUGGGGACUCAUAGGAGACUGCCGGGGUCAACUCGGAGGAAGGUGGGGACGACGUCAAGUCAUCAUGCCCCUUAUGUCUUGGGCUGCAAACAUGCUACAAUGGCCGGUACAAUGGGCGUGCGAUACCGUAAGGUGGAGCGAAUCCCUUAAAGCCGGUCUCAGUUCGGAUUGGGGUCUGCAACUCGACCCCAUGAAGGUGGAGUCGCUAGUAAUCGCGGAUCAGCAACGCCGCGGUGAAUACGUUCCCGGGCCUUGUACACACCGCCCGUCACGUCAUGAAAGUCGGCAACACCCGAAACUUGUGGCCUAACCCUUCGGGGAGGGAAUGAGUGAAGGUGGGGCUGGCGAUUGGGACGAAGUCGU
rnacentral:rRNA from 1 species